UACAGAGGUCUCAAGCGUUGUUCGGAUUCAUUGGGCGUAAAGGGUGCGUAGGCGGCGCGGUAAGUCGGGUGUGAAAUCUCGGAGCUUAACUCCGAAACUGCAUUCGAUACUGCCGUGCUUGAGGACUGGAGAGGAGACUGGAAUUUACGGUGUAGCGGUGAAAUGCGUAGAUAUCAGGAGGAACACCUGCGGUGUAGACGGCUUUCUGGACCAUUGCUGACGCUGAGACACGAAAGCGUGGGUAGCAAACAGG
rnacentral:rRNA from 1 species